AAAAAAAAAAAAAAAAAAAAAAAAAAGCAGCUCGGUUCACUAAACCGCACAUAGCAGGAGUUUAGGAAAGGGUCACCUGUAAUUGUGGUCGAUUAAAAAAAAAAAGUGUAAUUAUCAAUUAUUUGGGGUUUGGGGCUUUAUCAUGUUCGUGGUUAAUUUAUUUUUUUUAACUUGCUUUUUAGCUUUUGAUUUGCUGAAUUGCGUCCUAACCUUCUUUUCCUUUAUUCUAGGUUUGGUGGUAGUUACUUAAGAAUGUAAUUUGGUCUAAAAUUGUGAUUAUUGUGUAUAUAAUUAGGAUUUAAGGAGUGACAAUGCAAUUUUGGUUUAAAGUUUGUUCUAUUUUUCUAUAGUUUGUACUUUGUUGAACAGCAGCAAGCAAAGAUGACUUGGUUAGGACCUUGGGACCAAGUUGCCAUGUUAGCUGAAUUCAAGAGGCGUUUGAGUUUGACAAAGUCAUCUCAAGUUAGCAGAGUACUAUAUAAAGAAUGACCAAGUUGACUGUACUUUUCUGCCUAGCCAAGCUGUUGUGUGGAUUAUGAUGUAGUCACUUUUUCGGUAUUAAUUAUAGCUUCAACUUUGUUGGAUUCUUAUCAUUAUUAUCUUAGUGGGACAAAAGUUUUCUCACCACUUAAGUUUGUUGUUCCGUGGACGUGAUUGAGCUUGUAAUCCAAAUCCUAUUAAAAAAGAUUAGGUAAAACCCCCUAGUGGUCAUUGAUUUGGAUGAUAGAUUUGUUUCCCAAGUUCUCAUCUAAAAGUCAAAAACAGAAUAUGCUAAAUUGCUAGGACCAUGAUACUUUGUGAUGUUUUUUUUUCCUUUAUUUGCUUAAGCAAGGUUCUGCCAAAUUGAUGAGCAGUUUUUACACUGUAGCUGCAAAAGAUUGUGGGCUGGGCACCCUAUAGAUGAAUUUUACCAAGUAGGUAUAUUAAAAAAUAAGAGUAUAUAGUUAUUAGUUUUAUAUACUAGCAAUUUACAUGACUAGGAAGAUGGACUCUCUCUUUUUUCUUUCUAAAAGAUUAUGAAUAUAUGCUACUACUAUGUAUGUUUGGCUUAUGGGUUGCAACUUUUUGGUGUACGAGGGGAAUAAGGUUAUGGAAUAGAGGGGCAAGACUUGGAGAAAGAAACAUCCUUAGGACUUAGGAGUUCAUUUGAUAUCCUCUGCUUGUUCUAUUUAGUGUUACCUUCUCAGAACGGUUCAAAUAAAAAAUCAGUAUUAAUGUUCAACAUAGUUUAAAAUUUUGGGCAUCUCACCAUUUUUGUCGUAUAAGUUCUCCAAUUAAAAGGAAAAUUGUCCAAGACUAAGUUGAUUUUAUGGAAGAUACAGGCCUCACUGAAAUGAAGUGUAGGAAGAUUCUUUACAUGGACUAAUUGUAACAUCCAUAGCAACUUAGAGAGCAUUGGAUGACCAAAUGGCCUCUUAUAUCUGAUCACUUUGAUCACAGCAUUAAAAUAGAGCAAGCAAACACAAUUUUAAGUUUUAACAGUGAGUGUUGUUUAACUAAAAGUUUCGUCUCCAUGGAAUAAUUGAACACACAAUAAAAAAGAUUUUUUAUGAACUUUGGAAAUAAUGUAAAUAUUCUUUAACUUAAUAUAGAAUCAAUUUUCAGAGACCAUAUUAUUUGAAAAAAGUAGUAUGAUAAUAUAGAUAUAAAAAAAAAGAUAUAAUUCUGAUUCAAAAUUUUCAAUGCAGUAACAAUCAAAGGUGCAAGGAUGAAGUUUUGGAAGUUUCAAGACGACAAGAUCUCAAGUAACAAAUUUUCAAGAUAGGUAAUAGACUGUAAUUAGCAAUUAAAAAGGC
rnacentral:lncRNA from 1 species